rnacentral:lncRNA from 1 species
UAAAUUCAAGGUUUUUAUCAUCAUUUUUUAUGAAAUUUUUAUUUUGACCAUUCAUUUUUAAACUACUCGUUUGAUUGGUAAAUAAUGCCAAAAAAUUAUAAAAUUUAGUUUCCAAAUACUUUAAAUAGUAUAGAUCAAAUCCAACGGAGCCAAUCGUCGAUUUGGAAGUAGUAUCAGUGAAAACAACUUAGUAGCACUGAGGCCUCCGUGCUACCGAUAGUAUACCAGCCUAGCUCUCUCUCUCUCUCUAUAUAUAUAUAUAUUUAUUUAA